GAGACUGUUCUGCAACAUUGCAGUAACGUUAUAGAAUUACGUAAAUACGAUGUAAUUUAAUAACGUAACAAUUACGUUAUAUCACAGUCCUCAUCCUUACUUCAUUGGAAACGUUACUGGUAGGUUGUCAGAACGUUUGUAAAUGACGUAUUGGCUUACAGUAAAAUAUCUAUCUGACUAUCUGUCUGCGCGUUUACGCUUGGACCGUUAACACGUUAUAUCCAAUGCAGGGUUUAUUAUUAUUAUUAUUAUUAUUAUUAUUAUUAAUAUUAUUAUUAUUAUUUUAUUUAUUUAUUUAUUUAUUUUUUAAAUAUAGGAUAUGAUGGAUAAGCAGGUAUAGGGUUCUAGGGUGGCUGACAUGGAUAGGGAUUUUAUAGUAGGACUAGGUGUAAAGCAUGGAGGAUAAAAUAUAGUUUAGGGUGAAGGGAUUUUUGAGUGUAAAUCUAUUGUCUGAUACACACUCCGGAGCAGAAGGUGGCGGUAAUUCACCAAUAAGCUGUACAUAACCCGCUGUAAAACAACAAGAAGAAGACAGUAUAUCCAAUCACAUGCGCAUAUUGCUGUGACGUGCUCUUGGAAGAAGGUCGCCGUGAUUUCAAAUUCUCCGUAGGGGAAAAACUGGGUUUGACGGCGCUCGAGAGCAGGUCAUCCGUAAAAUAUCAGAACCGGCACCCAACAGGUCUGCCUCCCGAAUGCACAUCAAAUAAGACCAAAUAACAGACAGCUCAGCAUUCACGCUCUGGGCUGUGACCCAAGAACCUCUGUCACAAAAACAGAAAAGAGAUGGGCCGAGCCUUACUCGUAGAUGGUGGUCCAGCCGUUCUCGUUGCUCUUGGUUGCUAGGAGACCCAGGUUCCCGUGGUAGGUGAUCUGCGCCAGGUUGUGGGCCAGCGCGGAGACCCUCUGCAGGGAGCCGCUGUUGCUGAUGGUGAGCCAGUAGACCUGGCCGCCCGGCACCACCAGCCACAGCGGCACGCCGUUGGCGUCGCGGCGGAUGUGGACGGCGUUGCCGUUGCCGCCCACGGCCGUGCUCACGUCCCGCUCCGCCGAGUAGGUGAAGUUGUAGACGUAGUCCCCGGUGAUGAGGCUGCGGGUGUGCAGGUGCGUGCCGUUGGCGCUGAACAGGUAGAGCUCCUGGUCCACCGCCGACGCGAUCUCGUACAUGUUCCUGGCGUUGAGGCGCGGCCGGUUCCUGCUCAGCGCCCGGAUGCGGAUGUUGCCGAGGUCGGCGAUGUACAGCGUGCCGUCGGGGGAGACGGCCAAUGAGGAGGGGGCCUUCAACUUGCUGUCCCUGCCGUAUCCACUGUCCCCUGUAACCAGGAAGGAUGUGCAGAAAAAGUGUCAACAUGCCACCCUGGCACUUAAACAAUGGAAUAUGAACAUGCCACCCUGGCACAUAAACAAUGGAAUUUGAACAUGGCACCCUGGCACAUAAACAAUGUAAUUUGAACAUGCCACCCACGCACUUAAACACUGGAAAGCGCUUGGAUUAGGUGUUGAAAGCACAUGUCUCAAUGUUUCCGCACCAACCUAGAUGAAUGGCAACUGUGAACCAGCUGGAAAUGCCUUCACCAGGAAAAAAAAUGAAGCAUUUUUCAAUUGGACAGGUACACUGAUAAAAUCAUGUUUUCAGUGAAAGGGAAUGGUUUUCUCACCUGAUAUGAAGUUAUCUGACCUGGUCAGAUAACAUAUAAUUAAACCACAAAGAAAUCACAUUUCGUUUUUACAUCAGGAGUAAUAGAAAUCAUUAAUACAAAAUUGUUAAACAUAAUGUUAGCAGUGAAAUGUUAUGUGUAACUUUUAAAUUGUUUUGGUAAAAAAAAAAAAGUUUCUUUUUAAAGUGUUUUAUUUCCAAUCACAGUCUAUUAUUUCUUGCAAGUUAUAUUUUUUUGCAAUGUGUGCUUAUACAAGCUAGAAUAAAGAAUAAAAUAUAAAAAAGAAUAAAAAAUUAUGCAUUUGGAAUGUCAUGGUUUAAAAAACCCACUUACAGAGAGAGACCCAUAGAUUCCUAUAUUGCAGUAAGUGUUGGAUGUUAAGAGGAAAUUAAUGGUUUUAACAUCUCAUAAAAGCCGGAAGCCAUUAUCACCUUCUGCACCACCCAGAAAAGUCGCACAACCUCUCACACGAGAGCAUUGCUUUCACAGUUAAAAUACAUAACAUACUGUGAGCUCCAUCAUUUUUGAGACGAAUACAU